AUGAAGGCUCCACACCUUCCCUUUUUAUGCGAAUUUAAUGAUAAUAAAACCUUAGCUUCUUAUGCUAAUGGUAUAUAUGAUUACUAUGAUGUGGAACAAAUAGAAGAAUUUGUUGCUUUUAUGGGUGCUUAUGAAAUUGAAUCUAUGUUUAAAGAGUUUGAAGAUUUUGAUGAUUCGGUUUAUAGACCUGAAAAUUUAGCUAUCCUUAAAUAUUGCUAUGAGAAUUAUGAAUACAAUUCUGAUAUUAAUGCACUUAUUGAGAAAGUCUCUGCUGUCCAAGAAGAGACUAAUAUUUUGCAGGAAUCUAUGGAAGAAGAAGUUGAUGAAACUGUGAGCUCAUUGGAUGAAAAAGAUGAGGAGGAGAGCGAAGAACAAAAGGAGGAAGAGCGGAUUGAUCACCCGUGCCCACCUUCUAAUGAGAGUAACUCUUCAACUCAUACAUUGUUUAAUUCCCCUUCAUGCUUACCGAAGGAUCAAUGCUAUGGUAAUUGCUAUGAUCCCGUUGAUUCUUUUGAAAUAUCCCUUUUUGAUGAUGCUUGGUAUGCUUGUGGCCAAGAUGCCAAUAUGAAUUAUGCUUAUGGAGAUGAACUUUCUAUAGUUCCAUAUGUUAAACAUGAAAUUGUUGCUAUUGCACCCAUGCAUGGUAGCCCUAUUAUCUUUUUGAAUUCUCCCGAUUACACUAUAUCGGAUAAGUUUGCCUUUAUUAAGGAUUACAUUGAUGGGUUGCGUUUUACUAUUACACAUGAUGAAUUUGACAGUUAUAAUAUGCAUGUGCUUGCUGCUCCUACUUGCAAUUAUUAUGAGAGAGGAACUAUAUCUCCACCUCUCUAUGUUUCCCACAUGAUAAAAUUGCAAGAAACUGUUUAUACUAUGCAUUGGCCUUUACUAUGUGUGCAUGAAUUGUUCUUUUAUGACAUGCCGAUGCAUAGGAAGAGAGUUAGACUUCGUUGUUGCAUGAUAUAUGCUACUUUUUGCUCACUACUAAAUUACAAAUCGUUGUUAAUUAAAAUUGGCUUUGAUAUACCUUGGGAUCCGGGUGGAUCCAUUACUUGA
rnacentral:rRNA from 1 species